UGGGGAAUUUUGGACAAUGGGGGCAACCCUGAUCCAGCCAUGCCGCGUGCGGGAAGAAGGCCUUCGGGUUGUAAACCGCUUUUAGUCGGGAAGAAAAGGCAAGGGUUAACACCUCUUGUUCUUGACGGUACCGGCGGAAUAAGCACCGGCUAACUACGUGCCAGCAGCCGCGGUAAUACGUAGGGUGCGAGCGUUAAUCGGAAUUACUGGGCGCAAAGCGUGCGCAGGCGGUUUGUUAAGUCUGAUGUGAAAGCCCCGGGCUCAACCUGGGAAUGGCAUUGGAAACUGGCAAGCUCGGGUGCGGCAGAGGGGGGUGGAAUUCCGCGUGUAGCAGUGAAAUGCGUAGAGAUUAGGAAGAACACCAGUGGCGAAGGCGACUCUCUGGACUGUAACUGACGCUGAGGCUCGAAAGCGUGGGGAGCAAAC
rnacentral:rRNA from 1 species